GAUCAUGGCUCAGGAUGAACGCUAGCGACAGGCUUAACACAUGCAAGUCGAGGGGCAUCACGGGAGUAGCAAUACAACUGGUGGCGACCGGCGCACGGGUGAGUAACGCGUAUGCAACCUACCUAUCAGAGGGGAAUAACCCGGCGAAAGUCGGACUAAUACCGCAUAAAACAGGGGCACCGCAUGGUGAUAUUUGUUAAAGAAAUUCGCUGAUAGAUGGGCAUGCGUUCCAUUAGGUAGUUGGUGAGGUAACGGCUCACCAAGCCGACGAUGGAUAGGGGAACUGAGAGGUUGGUCCCCCACACUGGUACUGAGACACGGACCAGACUCCUACGGGAGGCAGCAGUGAGGAAUAUUGGUCAAUGGGCGGGAGCCUGAACCAGCCAAGUCGCGUGAAGGAAAAGAAGGAUCUAUGGUUCGUAAACUUCUUUUGCAGGGGAAUAAAGUGCAGGACGUGUCCUGUUUUGUAUGUACCCUGAGAAUAAGGAUCGGCUAACUCCGUGCCAGCAGCUGC
rnacentral:rRNA from 1 species